rnacentral:rRNA from 1 species
AUUGAACGCUGGCGGCAGGCUUAACACAUGCAAGUCGAGCGGGGGAAGGUAGCUUGCUACCGGACCUAGCGGCGGACGGGUGAGUAAUGCUUAGGAAUCUGCCUAUUAGUGGGGGACAGCAUCUCGAAAGGGAUGCUAAUACCGCAUACGUCCUACGGGCGAAAGCAGGGGAUAUUCGGACCUUGCGCUAAUAGAUGAGCCUAAGUCGGAUUAGCUAGGUGGUGGGGUAAAGGCCUACCAAGGCGACGAUCUGUAGCGGGUCUGAGAGGAUGAUCCGCCACACUGGGACUGAGACACGGCCCAGACUCCUACGGGAGGCAGCAGUGGGGAAUAUUGGACAAUGGGGGGAACCCUGAUCCAGCCAUGCCGCGUGUGUGAAGAAGGCCUUAUGGUUGUAAAGCACUUUAAGCGAGGAGGAGGCUACUCUAGUUAAUACCUAGGGAUAGUGGACGUUACUCGCAGAAUAAGCACCGGCUAACUCUGUGCCAGCCGCCGCAGUAA